GACGAACGCUGGCGGCGUGCCUAAUACAUGCAAGUAGGACGCAGUUGCUAACGGGUUAGUAACGCGUAGGUAACUACCUAUUAGAGGGGGAUAACUAUUGGAAACGAUAGCUAAUACCGCAUACUAGUAGAUGGACCUGCGUUGUAUUAGCUAGUAGGUAGGGUAAUGGCCUACCUAGGCAACGAUACAUAGCCGACCUGAGAGGGUGAUGGUCAGCACUGGGACUGAGACACGGCCCAGACUCCUAGGGGAGGCAGCAGUAGGGAAUCUUCUGCAAUGGGGGGAACCCGGACCGAGCAAAGCAGCGGGAGUGAGGAAGGUUUGCGGAUCGUAAAGCUCUGGUGUGAAGGAAGCGGUACUUAACCAGAAAGGGACGGCUAACUACGUGCCAGCAGCCGCGGUAAUUC
rnacentral:rRNA from 1 species